AUGAACGCUGGCGGCGUGCCUAAUACAUGCAAGUCGAGCGAACAGACGAGGAACUUGCUCCUCUGACGUUAGCGGCGGACGGGUGAGUAACCCGUGGAUAACCUACCUAUAAGACUGGGAUAACUUCGGGAAACCGGAGCUAAUACCGGAUAAUAUAUUGAACCGCAUGGUUCAAUAGUGAAAGUCGGUUUUGUUGUCACUUAUAGAUGGAUCCGCGCCGCAUUAGCUAGUUGGUAAGGUAACGGCUUACCAAGGCAACGAUGCGUAGCCGACCUGAGAGGGGGAUCGGCCACACUGGAACUGAGACACGGUCCAGACUCCUACGGGAGGCAGCAGUAGGGAAUCGUCCGUAAUGGGCGAAAGCCUGACGGAGCAACGCCGCGUGAGUGAUGAAGGUCUUCGGAGCGUAAAACUCUGUUAUGAGGGAAGAAUAAAUGUGUAAGUAACUAUGCACGUCGUGACGGUACCUAAUCAGAAAGCCACGGCUAACUACGUG
rnacentral:rRNA from 1 species